UAUAAGAAAUAAGUAUUUAAAAUGAUAUUAGAAGUUAAAUUGAUACAAGAAAAUAAAGUAUAUGCCUCUCCAGCAAUGAGAACUUGAUUAGGGCUUUGGUGCUGGACAUUAAUUUCCUCCUACUGAGACAGCAUUAUUUUAUUGGGAAAAUGGGACUAGUGCCUUCAAAGCAACUUGAAAAAUCCAAAUCGGUUUAAGCUGUUUUAUUUCCUUUAGAAGAAAAUGGGGCUUUUAAAGUUCUUACCCAACUCUGUGUUUCUUGAGUUCUUCCAUGAAAUGGAUUUUUCUUUUUGUUGCUAGAUAAUCUGCACAUUGAAAUAAGGGUUUUUCUCAGUGAGGGCCAAGCAGUGGUUUUAUAGAAGUAUGACAAUGCAUCAACUUUAAAAAAAAAACUCAUGGCUCCAUGAAAUGGAUUUUUCUUUUUGUUGCUAGAUAAUCUGCACAUUGAAAUAAGGGUUUUUCUCAGUGAGGGCCAAGCAGUGGUUUUAUAGAAGUAUGACAAUGCAUCAACUUUAUAAAAAAAAAAAAGAUUCUUUCUCUUACAAUGGCCUUUGGGAUGAGCAUGAAGCAAGUUUGUAUGUGCUACAUUUCAUGCUUUAGAAAAGGCUAAGGGAGACAGGGAGAUGCUGAGAACAAGUGAUCUUACUUAAAAAGAAGAAAGA
rnacentral:lncRNA from 1 species